rnacentral:rRNA from 1 species
CCUACGGGAGGCAGCAGUGGGGGAUAUUGCACAAUGGGGGAAACCCUGAUGCAGCGACGCCGCGUGGGUGAAGAAGCGCCUCGGCGCGUAAAGCCCUGUCAGCAGGGAAGAAAAUGACGGUACCUGAAGAAGAAGCCCCGGCUAACUACGUGCCAGCAGCCGCGGUAAUACGUAGGGGGCAAGCGUUAUCCGGAUUUACUGGGUGUAAAGGGGGCGCAGACGGCGCUGCAAGCCAGGAGUGAAAGCCCGGGGCCCAACCCCGGGACUGCUCUUGGAACUGCGUGGCUAGAGUGCAGGAGGGGCAGGCGGAAUUCCUGGUGUAGCGGUGAAAUGCGUAGAUAUCUGGAGGAACACCGGUGGCGAAGGCGGCCUGCUGGACUGCAACUGACGUUGAGGCCCGAAAGCGUGGGGAGCAAACAGGAUUAGAUACCCCAGUAGUC